UGGGGAAUAUUGCGCAAUGGGGGGAACCCUGACGCAGCCAUGCGCGUGAAUGAAGAAGGCCUUAGGGUUGUAAAGUUCUUUCGGUAUUGAGGAAGGUUGAUGUGUUAAUAGCACAUCAAAUUGACGUUAAAUACAGAAGAAGCACCGGCUAACUCCGUGCCAGCAGCCGCGGUAAUACGGAGGGUGCGAGCGUUAAUCGGAAUAACUGGGCGUAAAGGGCACGCAGGCGGUUAUUUAAGUGAGGUGUGAAAGCCCCGGGCUUAACCUGGGAAUUGCAUUUCAGACUGGGUAACUAGAGUACUUUAGGGAGGGGUAGAAUUCCACGUGUAGCGGUGAAAUGCGUAGAGAUGUGGAGGAAUACCGAAGGCGAAGGCAGCCCCUUGGGAAUGUACUGACGCUCAUGUGCGAAAGCGGGGGGGGAGCAAACAGGAUUAGAUACCCUGGUAGUCCACGCUGUAAACGCUGUCGAUUUGGGGGGGUGGGGGUUUAACUCUGGCGCCCGUAGCUAACGUNGAUAAAUCGACCGGCCUGGGGAGUACGGCCGCAAGUUUA
rnacentral:rRNA from 1 species